UCCUCGCUCAAAGAAUCGCAUUCAAAGCUUACACACAAAGGAGGGGAAUUUCUCCUCCUUUCACAUCCUCGCUUUGGGAGAAAGUCCCCGGACAACCUGCGCUCUUUCAGAGUUUUUCAAGCCAGGCAUUGCGGAAACGCGCCGCCAUAGAAGCAAUUCGACAGCGGCUUACGCCCUACUUCCCUGACUCUGUGCUCCUCGCUCGACAGCUUCUGGCUGGUCACAAUGGGGCGGCGGUGUCGGAGUUGGAUGGAAGAAGGGGGGACUUCGGUCUUCCCUUGUAUCGGGUUGCCUUUCGUCGUGGUUCGAUAGUCAUGCGAUUGCCUGCCGAUUCCUUGUGGAUUGGGAGGUAACUCAAUGGGGCUCAUUCUUGAGGCGAGG
rnacentral:RNase_MRP_RNA from 2 species